rnacentral:misc_RNA from 1 species
CCGAAUCGUCAACAAGAGUUGUUGCUGGUCCUCAAACGGGGGCAUGUGCACGCUCUGUUCACACAUCCACUCACACCCUGUGCACUCUCUGUAGUUCUACGGUCGGGGGGCCUGUCCUCCUGCUGUGGUUCUGCAUCUUUACACACACACGCUGUAACAAAGUCUCAUGGAAUGCAUGUCGCGUUUAACGCAAUACAAUA